CUCAGACACUUCUCUCGGAUUUAGAAAAGCAAUCGAUUGUUGAAGAGAGAAAAAAAAGAAAAGCAAUCGACAUCCAUUCAUCCCACAGAAUCAAAAGGAGUAAUCGCAUGUGUUGUUCAUCUCUGUGGGUUAUAAAAAGCCAAAGAGACAAAGCCAAAGAGACGCUUCAAAAGUCGAUAGAUCUACGGAGAAUUUCACCAUACCCUAUAUCUAUCUCUUUGAGAAAGUGAUAAGAAGCGUUGAAAGACAACCAAAUGGUUUUAGUGUUUGAGAAAAAGAUAAGUUCAGUUAUAUGGGGUUUCUUGGUAUAACGUUUGAUCAACACAUGAUAUCGAUGGGCUGACCAUUAAUUUAUGUUUUGGAAGUUAAAAGUAAAUGGACUUACAGAUUUUGUGGGAGAUAGACUUGUUAUAUUUGAAAGGCUGGAUGUAAAAAAGUUGCCGAUUUUCUUUUAAAAAAAAGCCAAUGGCAUAGACAUGUAAUUAACUU